GGAAAAAACACUCACCUAAAAUUCAACCGAAGCACUAAAAAAAAGAAAAAAUCUCAUAUUAAUCAUCUCUUUGUUUUCUUGGUUCCAUGUACACAAACCUCAAGGUUUGUUUUUGCUGAUUUUGGGAAUUUGACUUUGGUUUUCCUUUUCUUGAGGAUUUGGACUUCAAGAAAAUAUGGCAAAGGAUAGGCAUAUGGGUGUGGCCUUGGAUUUUUCCAAGGGAAGCAGAUUAGCUCUCAAAUGGGCCAUUGACAAUCUGCUAGACGAAGGUGACACCCUCUAUGUCCUUCACGUCAAGCCCUCACAAGGGGAAGAGUCUCGCAACCUUCUUUGGUCCACUACUGGUUCACCUCUGAUUCCACUGGUGGAGUUUCGUGAUCAGGAGGUGGCAAAAAAAUAUGAGGUUAAACUUGAUCCAGAGGUUUUGGAUAUGUUAGACACCGUCUCUAGGCAGAAACAGGUGAUUGUAGUGGCAAAAAUUUACUGGGGAGAUGCAAGAGACAGAUUAUGUGAGUCCGUAGAGGAUCUGAAGCUUGACUGUCUGGUCAUGGGUAGCAGAGGCCUUGGUUCCAUACAAAGGGCGCUGCUUGGGAGUGUGACCAACUAUGUGAUGACAAAUGCAACUUGCCCUGUGACUGUCGUCAAGGAUCCAAGUGCUCAUGGGUUCUGAUCAAAAUCUGAAUUUGAUCUUGCAGCGAUGAUUUGUGCUUUCCCUUUCUUUGGCUUGUACCUGCUUGUAUUGAAAUGUGAGUGGUUCUGAGUUUCUACCCCUUCACGGGCUAUCUUCAUAUUAUAUAACCUUAUAGUUGUUAUACAAUAUGGUUGGAGACUGUUGUGGCUUUUACCAAGGUUUCAUGUCUUUGAACCUUGCUCAAUGUAGUUUGCUUUCAACUGUUUUGAACUGUAAUUGCGCUAAUAAAUUUUGGGAGCAUGAAGAAGCAGUAAAGUUCUGUAUCAGCUUUGACAGUUCAUCUUUAUAGUGAAAUCUAUUAAAACUAAUUAUGC
rnacentral:misc_RNA from 1 species